AUUGAACGCUGGCGGCAUGCCUUACACAUGCAAGUCGAACGGUAACAGGUCUUCGGAUGCUGACGAGUGGCGAACGGGUGAGUACUGCAUCGGAACGUGCCCAGUAGUGGGGGCUAGCCUGGCGAAAGCCGGAUUAAUACCGCAUACGACCUGAGGGUGAAAGGGGGGGAUCGCAAGACCUCUCGCUAUUGGCGCGGCGGGUGUCAGAUUAGCUAGUUGGUGAGGUAAAGGCAUACCAAGGCAACGAUCUGUAGUUGGUCUGAGAGGACGACCAGCCAAACUGGGACUGAGACACGGCGCAGACUCCUAGGGGAGGCAGCAGUGGGGAAUUUUGGACAAUGGGCGCAAGCCUGAUCCAGCAAUGCCGCGUGCAGGAAGAAGGCCUUCGGGUUGUAAACUGCUUUUGUCAGGGAAGAAAUCUUCUGGGUUAAUACCUCGGGAGGAUGACGGUACCUGAAGAAUAAGCACCGGCUAACUACGUGCCAGCAGCCGCAGUAAAAC
rnacentral:rRNA from 1 species